rnacentral:lncRNA from 1 species
GCCUCCGCGGCGCUGCCUCCGGGAACUCUCCCGCGAGAGGGCCGCGCGCGCCCGGGCUCCAGGAAGUCGGGAUUCCGUCCGAGCGGGAUGGAGGGGGCUGAGACCUGCGGCGGCUGGUGCGAAGCCGAGGCCAGUGCCGUCCCGAAGCGUCCGCCUCCCAUUUGUCAGAAUCUCGCUUGAGGCUCGGCCUGUCGGGGAGCCCGGGAUGUCCCCUCCCGAGGAAGAAGAGCCACGGCGCCAGACACCUCAGUGCCCGGGUGAACGCCGGCGCCCAGCGAAGCGCCUGUUCUCAUAAAACCAAAGGCUUUUUAAAACAGCACUUCUCCUGAAGUCCAGAAUAUUUUCCCUGGUUAGCUGAUAAACUACAAGCCUGAUCCUGACAUGGUUUUUGGAGAUGCUAUCACCUGAAUGGAGGAAUGUGGGUCCUAGGAUUUGUGCUCUUCAUGUCCUGGCUGCCUUGCUAAGCCUAUUUCUUUUCUUCUCGGCCUGCCCGGGCCCCUGGAAAUGGAAGAUUUUGAGACUAAGUCAUUUAGAAAAAGAAAGCUUGCUUUCAGAAGCUCAGCCAAGACAUUCAUGGAUCAGCAGGAAUGGAUCAUCCCAAGGCACAGUAGGAGGUUACAGGAAAGUUAAAUCCACAACAUUGCCAAGGCUGAAGAGCUUUCGAGUCUACGCCUGGUGGAGAAACAGCAAAUAUAUCAGACGAUUCUCGCACCCACAGAGGCCCUGACAAAGCUCCAAAGAGCAGCAUCGCGAAAGUCUGAAUAAAGGCUUGCUUGGGGACUUAGUAAUUAUAGGAAAGACACGUGGUUUCCUUUAUUUUGGUCUCUUCUCUGGUUUAUUUUGCAGGAAUGAUGUGUUCUUCCUUUCUCUCUUUUUUUCAUGAUACCCCC